rnacentral:tRNA from 2 species
CGAAAUAUAGCUUAUCUAAAGCACUUUGCUUACACCAAAGAAAUGUCUACUAACCUAGGCUGUUCCGAG